rnacentral:ncRNA from 1 species
CGGUUCUUCUAUGGAAUCGGCAACUUAAUAGGGAAGUCCGGUGAAAGUCCGGCACGGUCCCGCCACUGUAACAGGGAGCAUACACGCUUUUACAACCCACUGUUCUUGAAGAAUGGGAAGGGCGCGUUUAUGCGAUGAACUGGAGUCAGGAGACCUGCCUUGAAAU